rnacentral:lncRNA from 1 species
UUUGAUGCCAUGCUUUUCACCUUGCCAUUUGCGUAUUAAUGUUGCUUGAUUCUAAAGUCCGAGAGAAAUUUGGGUUUAUAUAUGACAUUCUUGUCUGUUGGAUUGCAUCCCAUUGGUCAGAUAUUUUCAACUCUUAACUUUUAAAUUUAUGCUUAGGAUUAGUCUCUUCAACUCUUCCCAACCUCUUUAAUUUCAAAAUCUCUCCCGCCUUUUAAAAUCUUCUUUGCUUGUGUUUGUGUUUUCAAAACAUAGACUUUAUUGCAAAUUAGAAACUUUGGCCCUAUGCCAUUGCAUUUUCAAACCCUUUCUUAAUCAAACUUGUAAAGAAAUUUAACUAUACUUGACUUAAAA